rnacentral:rRNA from 1 species
GACGAACGCUGGCGGCGUGCUUAACACAUGCAAGUCGAACGGUGAAGGGACCGGUUUUUGCUGGUUCUGGAUGAGUGGCGAACGGGUGAGUAACACGUGAGUAACCUGCCCCCUUCUUCUGGAUAACCGCAUGAAAGUGUGGCUAAUACGGGAUAUUCUGCGCCUGCUGCAUGGUGGGUGUUGGAAAGAUAUUGUUUCGGUGGGGGAUGGGCUCGCGGCCUAUCAGCUUGUUGGUGGGGUGAUGGCCUACCAAGGCGGUGACGGGUAGCCGGCCUGAGAGGGUGGACGGUCACACUGGGACUGAGACACGGCCCAGACUCCUACGGGAGGCAGCAGUGGGGAAUAUUGCACAAUGGGCGCAAGCCUGAUGCAGCGACGCCGCGUGAGGGAUGGAGGCCUUCGGGUUGUAAACCUCUUUCGCCAGUGAAGCAGGCCUGUCCCUUUUGUGGGUGGGUUGACGGUAGCUGGAUAAGAAGCGCCGGCUAACUACGUG